rnacentral:lncRNA from 1 species
ACCUUUUGUUGGUGGUGCUGUUCAUUUGCAUUUAUCCCAAACUUCUCCUAAACAUAUUUGUAUUUUUAUAUGGUUUCUUGUAUCAAAUAAAGACAAAUUUAGACUUGGAUAAGAAGACACGUUUUUCAGAAAGACUACUGCAAUCAAGAGAAUAUUCCAACCUCAGGAUCUGCAAGUGUCUCAAAAUCAAACAGAAAAAAGCUUUCCUCAUACAGGGAGGGAUCAUCAUGGACACAUGGACAACAGAGAUUUUUGAGGGGAAAUUAUUCAAAGGAAUGAGAGUGAGCAGACAGCAUGUAUUUCUCACUGUGGUUUGCCCAUUUCAAUUCUAUGGAUGUGCUAUGUAUUAGAAUUCUCCAGAAAAACAAAACCAACAGGAGGUGUAUAUACAGAAAGACAACUGCCUUGUGGUUGUAGAGAAAAAUGUGAUUAAAAUUUAGUCAGGACAAAGGAGAAGGCAAGAAAUGCAUAACUGCAAGCACCUGGUCAUUUGUUUUCCUUCAAACUUCAGUUUGAUAAAUAUGUUUGUCAGAUUCCAUACAAACUAAGUAUUUGAAAUGACUAGGUUCACUAUCAGAAUUAACACUUUUAGCUUCAUCUCCCGACAUUAAAUAGGAUAAGGGCACUGGAAGCAUUCAUUGAAUUAUUAUUUUGAAGGGAAGGUAUUUCAGUAGGUUAGGUAAAGAAAUUAAAAUAUAAAGUAGGUGUUUCAAAAAGUCAAUCAAAGGGAAAGGUCUGAAGAAUUUCAAAGAUCCCACAAACCAGUAGUGACAUCAGAUGACAUAUUUCAUUAAGAAUUAGAAACGCUUUUUCAUUCAACAGUUUAUUAUGGACUGACACUGUGCAAAGCAGUGGCAAUUCAUAUAAGGUUGAACAAAGUGGAGACUCUUCCCUGAUGCUGUAGACGUUACUUUAAUAGUAGGGAGAGAGACACACGAAUCUAUCAUACAACUCCAUGUCAUUUGAGUUUCACAAAAAAGGAACUGCUUACUGUGUAGGCAUGUAUAUAAAGAUAUACUAUGCAUUUAAUACAUAUGCCAACAAAUAUUUUAUUUUUCAAGUCAGUCAAGGUAUCAAUAUGAACUCUAGUUUUUGAAUUAUAAAACUGUCCAUAAGGCUGGAAAGAAAAAAAAAACUACACUUUCUUUUAAUUAUAUAAUCUUUCAUAUUUUUCACACAGGCAUCUUUGCCUAGAAUAUUUUCCCCCCCUUAUGUUCACCAGCAAAAUCCUACUCAUCUUUCAAGAUUCAAUUCAAAUGUCACUUUCUCUGGCUCAGGCAGUUAACUGCUCCCUAAUCUCUUCCCAUAGCACUUUCCAAACAGAGGGUACUUUUUACUGCUUUAUAUAAGUUUAUUUCUUUACUCAUAUAUUUCUCCCACAAAACUCUUCUUGAGAAUAACAACCAAGCCUUUCUUAGUUUUACAAAUUAGAGCCUAGCACAGUUUUUGCUGAUAUAUAAGAAAUAUAUUGAAUGAAUGACUGAAUAAAUAGUCAUAAUCACUCGGAGUUUACAGAGCAGCCACAGUCUUGAACUUUGCUAGUCACCAUGACAGGAAAAAUAGAAAUAUUUGAAGGGUUUCAGAAGGGAAACUUGCUACAUGAGUGUCCACAAUUCACUAACAAAGCUGGUCUUAGGCCACACUGAAUCACAAAGGAGCCAAUAAAACACAAUCCUACCAUUUGCCUGGAAGAAAAGAGCCAGUAAUCAGCACUAAUGAUUACUGCACUUGACAACUAGGAAUAAAUAUGUUUCUUGAAUUCAGAAAGACAUCUUUUUCAUCACUAGAAAACAUAUGUUCAAAAGUCACAAAGGAAAUUGUAGGGAGGGAAUUAAUCAUGGGAUGCUAAUCAGUCUAAAAUCCCUGUCUUUUCUAUAGCACUGUGAAGUAAUAUCUUAAUAUUCUCAAUAUUCGUUGUUAUGCUUUUAACAAAUCUCAUUCUUCUUAUUCCAGUUCAUGUCAAUUUUUUGGCCAAUACCUUUGUUAGAAUAUUCAAAUAUAGUCUAAAGAUCCACAAAAUAUUGUUAUGGGAAUAUCACAAAGCAAGGGCAAAGCACUAAUAUUAUCAUUUGACACUGCUCUAACAAGUAGUUAACCUAUUCCUCUUUUCAUCAGAUGCUCAUUUAAAUUCCUCUAAAUUAACUGUUUAGGACAUGAUUUUCACAAAGCUGUGUUGGAAUCUGACCUACUUAAACAUGCUUUGUAAAUACAGCUGUUAACCAGGUUAGAGAAGGGUUAGUAGAUAAGAUCAUAGAAAUCAAAUCCAGAGAACACAAUUUUUAUCUUACCCCAACUAGUAGUAUCAUAUCCUAUAUUGAAUAAAUAAUUUUGCAAAAUAAUUUUAUAACUAUGGUAAUAGUAAUAGGCAGUGUGACACAAGGGGAAGAGCCCUAGUCUUGGAUCUAGAUUUGAAUUUAAUCUCAGCCCCUCUGAUUUUCACCUGUAAAAUUUUGAAAUCUCAAACUUUUCAAAGUCUCAGUUCUCUCUUCUGUAAAAUAGUGACUCUUUGAAGACUCAUUUGAAACAAUGUAUAUGAAAGACCUUUUAAAUUCUAAGACACAAAUGUCAUAUUCUUAUUAUUAGUAACAUAAAAGCAUCCCUCAAAAACCACUUAGGACGCUAGAUAUUAGGUUCCAUAAUUCUCAUCAAUAUUUGAAGAAAUAAGAAUAAAAUUAGCAUAUAACUUAUUUAAGAUCAGGCAUCAAAGAAUGAAACUAUUUUGUGCAAUAUUGUAGCAGUAGAUACAUGAUGCUACCCAUUUGUCAAAACCCAUAGAAAUACACAAUAUAAAGAGUGAAUCUUAAUAUAAGUAGAUAUUUGAAAUAUCACUGAGGAAGUCAGCAUAUUCCACAGUGAAAUGCAGAAUGUGACAAAACCAUCUGACUGUAUUGCAAAUAUACAAAACCUCGCUAAAGGAGGCGGGGAAAGGUACUUACCUCAAGAACUUUGUAAUGAGUGGAGAAUAUAAAACUAAAGGCAAAAGACCCAGCAGUGUACUCUAAUUGCUUAAGCUGUCUCCUUUAGGUGUAUAUGUUAACAAUUAUGAAAUCACAAUGCAUGUAUAACUGGGAUUGCACACACAAAUAAGUGAACUAUAGAUGGUGCAAGUCAGAUUUUUCACUGUUGGAACAGAAGGUUACAGACAAACCAAAAGGGACAGCUAGGAUCAAUCAUGUGAUACUCAAAUAGAAUUACAGACAGAAUAAGCUCAUGUUUAAAUUAAUACAAGGGUUCCCAUUGUGGCUCAGAAGAAAUUAAUCUGACUAGUAUCCAUGAGGACACAGGUUCAAUCCCUGACCUCGUUCAGUGGGUUAAGGAUCCGGUGUUGCCAUGAGCUGUGGUGUAGUUUGCAGAGGUGGCUUGGAUCCUGCAUUGCUGUGGCUGUGGUGCAGGCUGGUUGCUACAGCUUUGAUAAGAUCCCUAGCCUGGGGACCUCCACAUUCAUGGGUGCAGCCAUAAAAAGACAAAAAACGAUUAAUACAGAUACGGAUCAAUAAAUUAGAAAUAGUUACAAUACAUGCACAUACAAGGGUUGGUAUAAACAGAUAUAUUUCCAAGUUUUGUCUGUCUGCUGAGAAGACCUAGAAGCAAUGACACCCCAGUUGCAAUGAGCACACCUAGGGUCCAGAUACUAAUUUCUAUGCCAUUAUUCAAUAAAAGGAACCAGGACUCCUUGGAAAAAUGGUUGAUUCUAAGACUAGGGAAGGGAAUAUGCAAAAUGAACUUAGAGCAUCUUAUAGUGCCAGAAGGAGAGGAAAUGCACAAAAGAUAAAACAGUGGGGGUACAGUGUGGGGGGUGGGAGUGGGGCAUCCUUGGGCAUCCU